rnacentral:rRNA from 1 species
CCUACGGGCGGCUGCAGUGGGGAAUAUUGGACAAUGGGCGAAAGCCUGAUCCAGCCAUGCCGCGUGUGUGAAGAAGGCCUUCGGGUUGUAAAGCACUUUCAGUGGGGAAGAAAGCCUUGGGGCUAAUACCCUCGAGGAAGGACAUCACCCACAGAAGAAGCACCGGCUAACUCCGUGCCAGCAGCCGCGGUAAUACGGAGGGUGCGAGCGUUAAUCGGAAUUACUGGGCGUAAAGCGCGCGUAGGCGGUCUGAUAAGCCGGUUGUGAAAGCCCCGGGCUCAACCUGGGAACGGCAUCCGGAACUGUCAGGCUAGAGUGCAGGAGAGGAAGGUAGAAUUCCCGGUGUAGCGGUGAAAUGCGUAGAGAUCGGGAGGAAUACCAGUGGCGAAGGCGGCCUUCUGGACUGACACUGACGCUGAGGUGCGAAAGCGUGGGUAGCAAACAGGAUUAGAUACUCCGGUAGUC